rnacentral:rRNA from 1 species
GCCUACGGGGGGCAGCAGUAGGGAAUUUUCGUCAAUGGGCGCAAGCCUGAACGAGCAAUGCCGCGUGAACGAGGAAGGUCUUCGGAUCGUAAAGUUCUGUUGAAGGGGAAAAAGAGCGGAGAGAGGAAUGGUCUCCGAUUGAUAUUACCCUUCGAGGAAGUCACGGCUAACUACGUGCCAGCAGCCGCGGUAAUACGUAGGUGGCGAGCGUUAUCCGGAAUGAUUGGGCGUAAAGGGUGCGUAGGCGGCCUGCUAAGUCUGGAGUGAAAGGUACCGGCUCACCCGGUACAGGCUCUAGAAACUGG